AAGAAUAAAACUUGAACCGCAAAUUGCACUUUACUUUUUGCCCAUUUUGCUUGCCUCUUCUCUUUGUCUGAUGGAGCAAUCCGAUAACUCAACGACCCACGUUCAUCAGGAAGCAGAAGAAGAACCGAACCCGACCCAUCAGUUCAUGCUUCCUCCCGGUUUGACACCGGAAGAAUCCGAUGAGCUCAAAUCAAGUGUAACCGACUUCCACUCCUACCAAGUCAACUCAUCCCAAUGUUCUUCUCUACUCGCACAACGCAUCCACGCGCCGCCUCACGUCGUCUGGCCCGUCGUCCGUCGUUUCGAAAAGCCUCAGAUAUACAAGCACUUCAUCAAAAGCUGUUCCGUCGCAGAGAAUUUCUCCAUGGUCGUGGGGGCCACGCGCGAUGUCAACGUCAUCUCCGGUUUACCGGCGAAUACAAGCACGGAGAGGCUCGAUUUAUUGGACGACGAAAAGUACGUCACCGGUUUCAGUAUAAUUGGUGGUGAACAUAGAUUGAAGAAUUACCGGUCAGUUACUAGUGUACAUGGAUUCGAACGCCAUGGGAGAAUCUGGACCGUUGUUUUGGAAUCGUACGUCGUUGAUGUGCCUGAAGGGAAUACUGAAGAAGACACUCGUCUUUUUGCUGAUACAGUUGUCAAAUUGAAUCUUCAAAAAUUAGCCUCCGUCGCCGAAGCCAUAGCUCUUGGUGGUAACGGUGAGAUCUCAUAAAAUUUGAAGUUUGAUUUAUUUCUCUUCAUCUUAAUUUUCUUUUUUCUUUUCCACGGGCUAAAAUCAUGGAAAAAUAUUGUGUUUCUAAAAAAGUUCAUGGAAGAUAAUCAGAACAUAUCCUUCACACGUAAUUAGAUUAAUUAUUCGUCUGGUUGUGUACUGGGUCGAGCUGAUGUAAAGAAUGAGGAAAUGAUAUAAGAUGAAGAUGUUGUAUUUCUGUAAUUUUAUUU
rnacentral:misc_RNA from 1 species